rnacentral:rRNA from 1 species
AUUGAACGCUGGCGGCAUGCCUUACACAUGCAAGUCGAACGGCAGCACGGAGCUUGCUCUGGUGGCGAGUGGCGAACGGGUGAGUAAUAUAUCGGAACGUACCCUAGAGUGGGGGAUAACGUAGCGAAAGUUACGCUAAUACCGCAUACGAUCUAAGGAUGAAAGUGGGGGAUCGCAAGACCUCAUGCUCGUGGAGCGGCCGAUAUCUGAUUAGCUAGUUGGUAGGGUAAAAGCCUACCAAGGCAUCGAUCAGUAGCUGGUCUGAGAGGACGACCAGCCACACUGGAACUGAGACACGGUCCAGACUCCUACGGGAGGCAGCAGUGGGGAAUUUUGGACAAUGGGCGAAAGCCUGAUCCAGCAAUGCCGCGUGAGUGAAGAAGGCCUUCGGGUUGUAAAGCUCUUUUGUCAGGGAAGAAACGGUGGGAGCUAAUAUCUCUUGCUAAUGACGGUACCUGAAGAAUAAGCACCGGCUAACUACGUGCCAGCAGCCGCGGUAAUACGUAGGGUGCAAGCGUUAAUCGGAAUUACUGGGCGUAAAGCGUGCGCAGGCGGUUUUGUAAGUCUGAUGUGAAAUCCCCGGGCUCAACCUGGGAAUUGCAUUGGAGACUGCAAGGCUAGAAUCUGGCAGAGGGGGGUAGAAUUUCCCCGUGUAGCAGUGAAAUGCGUAGAUAUGUGGAGGAACACCGAUGGCGAAGGCAGCCCCCUGGGUCAAGAUUGACGCUCAUGCACGAAAGCGUGGGGAGCAAACAGGAUUAGAUACCCUGGUAGUCCACGCCCUAAACGAUGUCUACUAGUUGUCGGGUCUUAAUUGACUUGGUAACGCAGCUAACGCGUGAAGUAGACCGCCUGGGGAGUACGGUCGCAAGAUUAAAACUCAAAGGAAUUGACGGGGACCCGCACAAGCGGUGGAUGAUGUGGAUUAAUUCGAUGCAACGCGAAAAACCUUACCUACCCUUGACAUGGCUGGAAUCCUUGAGAGAUCAGGGAGUGCUCGAAAGAGAACCAGUACACAGGUGCUGCAUGGCUGUCGUCAGCUCGUGUCGUGAGAUGUUGGGUUAAGUCCCGCAACGAGCGCAACCCUUGUCAUUAGUUGCUACGAAAGGGCACUCUAAUGAGACUGCCGGUGACAAACCGGAGGAAGGUGGGGAUGACGUCAAGUCCUCAUGGCCCUUAUGGGUAGGGCUUCACACGUCAUACAAUGGUACAUACAGAGCGCCGCCAACCCGCGAGGGGGAGCUAAUCGCAGAAAGUGUAUCGUAGUCCGGAUUGUAGUCUGCAACUCGACUGCAUGAAGUUGGAAUCGCUAGUAAUCGCGGAUCAGCAUGUCGCGGUGAAUACGUUCCCGGGUCU